rnacentral:tRNA from 1 species
GGCCGCCUGGCGAAAUGGCAUCGCGUCUGACUACGAUUACGUUAUCAGGAGAUUGCAGGUUCGACCCCUGCGGUGGUCA